rnacentral:rRNA from 1 species
UACAGAGGUGGCAAGCGUUGUUCGGAAUUACUGGGCGUAAAGGGCGCGUAGGCGGUUCGUUAAGUCCUGUGUGAAAUCCCCCGGCUCAACUGGGGAACUGCACAGGAAACUAGCGGGCUUGAGUUCGGAAGAGGGAAGCGGAAUUCCGGGUGUAGCGGUGAAAUGCGUAGAUAUCCGGAGGAACACCGGUGGCGAAGGCGGCUUCCUGGACCGACACUGACGCUGAGGCGCGAAAGCUAGGGGAGCAAACGGG